rnacentral:rRNA from 1 species
GGCUGGCGGCGUGCUAAUACAUGCACGUCGAGCGAAUCACAGGGAGCUUGCCCCUGAGAUAGCGGCGGACGGGUGAGUAACACGUGGGUAACCUGCCUGUAAGACUGGGAUAACUUCGGGAAACCGGAGCUAAUACCGGAUAAUUUCUUUUCUCGCAUGAGGGAAGAUGGAAAGAUGGUUUCGGCUAUCACUUACAGAUGGACCCGCGGCGCAUUAGCUAGUUGGUGAGGUAACGGCUCACCAAGGCGACGAUGCGUAGCCGACCUGAGAGGGUGAUCGGCCACACUGGGACUGAGACACGGCCCAGACUCCUACGGGAGGCAGCAGUAGGGAAUCUUCCGCAAUGGACGAAAGUCUGACGGAGCAACGCCGCGUGAGCGAAGAAGGCCUUCGGGUCGUAAAGCUCUGUUGUUAGGGAAGAACAAGUACGAGAGUAACUACUCGUACCUUGACGGUACCUAACCAGAAAGCCACGGCUAACUACGUGCCAGCAGCCGCGGUAAUACGUAGGUGGCAAGCGUUGUCCGGAAUUAUUGGGCGUAAAGCGCGCGCAGGCGGUCCUUUAAGUCUGAUGUGAAAGACCACGGGCUCAACGUGGAGGGUCAUUGGAA